UCAAGCUUUCAAGUAAAGCUUUGAAAAAGUUAAGAAGGAUUUACGGGAAUAUAAUUAUAGCGAUUUUCUGUGGAGGUAAAUAGAUGACAGUUGUGCAUAUGCUAGUUAAAGAUGGAAUAGAACGCUAGACAAUUUGUGUUAUGGGUUUCUAAUGUAAGCUAGAUUUGUACUUUUUAGAAGAGGACAGUUUGGAAAUUAAACCGUACAAUUAUAAGAAACCAUUCUUUAUUAUAAUUAUAAAUAGAAAUCUAGGGCAUGCAUGAGCUACCAAUAACACAAAAACAAAAUGCAGAC
rnacentral:lncRNA from 1 species